UACGAAGGGGGCUAGCGUUGUUCGGAAUCACUGGGCGUAAAGCGCACGUAGGCGGAUUUUUAAGUCAGGGGUGAAAUCCCGAGGCUCAACCUCGGAACUGCCUUUGAUACUGGAGAUCUUGAGUCCGGAAGAGGUAAGUGGAACUGCGAGUGUAGAGGUGAAAUUCGUAGAUAUUCGCAAGAACACCAGUGGUGAAGGCGGCUUACUGGUCCGGAACUGACGCUGAGGUGCGAAAGCGUGGGGAGCAAACAGG
rnacentral:rRNA from 1 species